rnacentral:rRNA from 1 species
UUACGAGAGUUUGAUCCUGGCUCAGGAUGAACGCUGGCGGCGUGCUUAACACAUGCAAGUCGAGCGAAGCACUUUAGUUGGAUUUCUUCGGAAUGACGGCUUUGGUGACUGAGCGGCGGACGGGUGAGUAACGCGUGGGCAACCUGCCUCACACAGGGGGAUAACAGUUAGAAAUGACUGCUAAUACCGCAUAAGACCACGGCACCGCAUGGUGCAGAGGUAAAAACUCCGGUGGUGUGAGAUGGGCCCGCGUCUGAUUAGGUAGUUGGUGCGGUAACGGCGCACCAAGCCGACGAUCAGUAGCCGACCUGAGAGGGCGACCGGCCACAUUGGGACUGAGACACG